rnacentral:rRNA from 1 species
GAUGAACGCUGGCGGCGUGCCUAAUACAUGCAAGUCGAGCGAACAGAUGAGGAGCUUGCUCCUCUGACGUUAGCGGCGGACGGGUGAGUAACACGUGGAUAACCUACCUAUAAGACUGGGAUAACUUCGGGAAACCGGAGCUAAUACCGGAUAAUAUAUUGAACCGCAUGGUUCAAUAGUGAAAGACGGUUUUGCUGUCACUUAUAGAUGGAUCCGCGCCGCAUUAGCUAGUUGGUAAGGUAACGGCUUACCAAGGCAACGAUGCGUAGCCGACCUGAGAGGGUGAUCGGCCACUCUGGAGCGGAGACACGGUCCAGACUCCUACGGGAGGCAGCGGUAGGGAAUCUUCGGCAAUGGGCGAAAGCCUGACGGAGCAACGCCGCGUGAGUGAUGAAGGUCUUCGGAUCGUAAAACUCUGUUAUUAGGGAAGAACAAAUGUGUAAGUAACGAUGCACGUCUGGACGGUACCUAAUCAGAAAGCCACGGCUAACUACGU